rnacentral:rRNA from 1 species
UACGUAGGGUGCAAGCGUUGUCCGGAAUUAUUGGGCGUAAAGAGCUUGUAGGCGGUCUGUCGCGUCUGCUGUGAAAAUCCGGGGCUCAACCCCGGACUUGCAGUGGGUACGGGCAGACUAGAGUGUGGUAGGGGAGACUGGAAUUCCUGGUGUAGCGGUGAAAUGCGCAGAUAUCAGGAGGAACACCGAUGGCGAAGGCAGGUCUCUGGGCCACUACUGACGCUGAGAAGCGAAAGCAUGGGAGCGAACAGG